rnacentral:lncRNA from 1 species
AGCUGCAAUUAACAGUUGCUCUACGUUACCGGUGUUCCACAUUUUACAAUAUUAAAUAGAGAAUUUUGAGUCCAGAAGCAAUCACUUUCAGGUCAGCGCCCUCCAAGAUGGAUUAUCAGUCAUGGUGUUUAAUUAUAUUUAUUUAAUUUGUUAGAGAGGGCUCUACGCCUAUAGAGUAUAACAAAUGGAUGUAUUUUUGUUUUCCUUCAUCUGUUGUAAGUUACUGUUUUUCUUGUCUGAAUCCUCUUUUGCUUCCGACACCAUUACUUCAUCUCAGUCCCUCAGCGAUGGCAGGACCUUAGUUUCAAAAGAUGGAAGCUUUGAGCUUGGUUUCUUCAGUCCUGGUAGUUCCAAGAAUCGUUACGUGGGAAUUUGGUACAAAAAUAUGCCAGUUAAAACUGUUGUUUGGGUUGCAAACCGAAUCAACCCCAUUAAUCUGCUGUACGGCCAAGGCGGAUGUACGGUACAGCAGUAAUUUUCUUUUUAGAACAAGAAAGAUAAAAUUUGUGAUUGGAGGAGUGGCUAAUUAUGAUUGUUAAUAAAUUUGAAUCUAUUUUUCGAAAUAGAAAAAAUAUUUUGGGUUGUGGGUUAUUAUUAUUUUUAAAUAAAGCGUGAGUUUCAAAGUUCAAGUUAAAAUUUAAAUUUUGUAGGUUUAUUAUGAAUGUAUAGAGGCUAUUUUAAUAGAUUGAUGAAGGUUAAUUAGAAACCCAAAUGAUUUUUUCUUUUAUUUUUUUUGUCUUUCACAUGCUAAAUCUACCACUCAUACCGAUAAGAAUUGGGAUGCUUUAUUUUUAUCCUAAUGAUCAUAAUAAAAAUCUUAUAAAAUUUUCACUAUUUUAUUAAAAUUAUUAUUUAAAAAUUAUAUUUACCCCAAAAAUCUUUGUGUUAAGUAAUCUACUAAUUAUAAUAACCCAUGACCAAAAAUAUUGGACAUGUCUUCUUUUUUUUUUUUAGUAAUUAUACACUCACAUCACGCUUUUACGAUUAAUUGAGUAAACAUGUAGGAUAAACGAUUUUAUAAUAGAUUGUCUCACAAUUUAAAUUUACCAAAUAUCCUCAGAAAUUAUUUGUAAAGUUGACUACUUCAAAAGUCAAGUUUGAAUAUUAAUUAAUUGUGAGACUAUUCGGAUUGAAUCCAUAAAAUUCUUUUUAAAUUUUCUUUACAACUUAUAACAUACUUUUCAGAAAGUUUAUCGAGUACUAAUUCAGAAAUUUAUUUCAAUAUAUAUUAAGAAAAAUUAUUUGGUUAAGAGAAAUUAGCCCCUUUGAAAAAUUGAGUUCGUGAGGCAUGAGCUCAUCAUUAACCAACCCAUCAAAUUAUUCAAUAAACACAUUUGCCUCACACAUCCAUAAUUAAUUAAAAGGAUGGAAUUAUUUGAACUUAUGAAAUUUCUCAUAACAUCCAUUUAUUUAAUAUAUCCCCUAUCAAGAUCUUAAAAUUAAAUUUUAACUCUAUAAGCCGCUUAAUACCUCACAAAUAACCGAUUUAUGGUGGGUGCAAUAAUUUAGAUCAUUAAAUUAUUUAUUGUUUUUGGUCAUUUUUAUUUAAGAUUAUUUUUGUACUAUAAAGUUUUAUUUAAAAUAGGUCUAAGGUGCAUUUUUAUGGGGGCCCAAAUGACCUUAAAAUUAGAAAAAGUUAAAUUAUACCAUAUAAAAGUAAAACCUCUUGUAAUUCCUAAACUAUCCUUGAUUAGAUUUCUUUUUUUAAUUUUAAUAUUUUCUCUCAUCUCAGAACUCAUAAGCUGCUAUAUCCUUUCUUGGUAAGAUGCUCUGUUCAGGCUUCAAUGUUGUUGGCUUGAAAUGGCAACUGAACUCGAAUCAAUUCUCAUGCAUGGGUUGGGAAAUUUGCUCAACUUAUAAUUGGUAGGUUUAUGCCUUUGAUCAAACUCAUUUCGCCUAUCCAAGAAUCUGCAAAAUUAAUUGGUAUUAUCAUGUCGAUGCUGCUUAUAAUUAGUAGCGCUUGCAUUGCCCUGAAUCCAGGCACUGCUUAAGUAGAGUUGGGCUUGCUGAUUCAUUUUAGUGACAUAUCAAAACAUUAAAAAAAAAAAAAUCAGGACUUGUUUGUCGAAAUUUACAAAUAUUUUGUUCUUUAAUUAAUUUUUAUUAUAUCAAACAAUAGAACUGCAGUGUAGUUAAACCCGUUGCUUACACCUGGGCAACAUAGUUUCGUGUUCUUUUUUUUUUUUAUAGUUUCUGUGAUGGCAAGUUAUAUAUAUGUCUUUUAAUUUUUCAAUUAUUGCGGCAACGAACAUGUUAAAUAAUUUGCGGUGGAAAAGGCACCAAUAUUGACUCAAUAUGUCAAAUUUCUAGAAAAUUUUAACAUCAAAUGCCUUUUUUCCAUUGUUGUAAGUAUAAGUCAAAUUUCUUGCAAAAUUUAUUUGCGUGUGACGAUUUUUUUUUUUUUAAGUGCAGACAGCCCACCCUUCACAUAUUCAUAGAGAUGUAGAAUUUUCAGCUGCAAUUAACAGUUGCUCUACGUUACCGGUGUUCCACAUUUUACAAUAUUAAAUAGAGAAUUUUGAGUCCAGAAGCAAUCGCUUUCAGGUCAGUGCCCUCCAAGAUGGAUUAUCAGUCAUGGUGUUUAAUUAUAUUUAUUUAAUUUGUUAGAGAGGGCUCUACGCCUAUAGAGUAUAACAAAUGGAUGUAUUUUUGUUUUCCUUCAUCUGUUGUAAGUUACUGUUUUUCUUGUCUGAAUCCUCUUUUGCUUCCGACACCAUUACUUCAUCUCAGUCCCUCAGCGAUGGCAGGACCUUAGUUUCAAAAGAUGGAAGCUUUGAGCUUGGUUUCUUCAGUCCUGGUAGUUCCAAGAAUCGUUACGUGGGAAUUUGGUACAAAAAUAUGCCAGUUAAAACUGUUGUUUGGGUUGCAAACCGAAUCAACCCCAUUAAU